AAACAUAAUGCAGUGGGGGAAAUAAUUGGCAUGCAUUACUCUGAUCUUUAACCACCUCUACACGACUACACAUAUAUGCAGUGGCGCAGGUGGUCAAGGAGGAGGGGGGUCAGCUGACCCCAUGAGUAUUAACCACCUGUUCAUUUUAUUAGUGUAAAAUGGAAGAUCAAACAAUAAGUAAAAAGGAACAUGAGCUCCAUUGAAUCUGUCCACAUAUGUAUAUUAAAUCAACCAAUGAAAACAGCCAUAAAAAAGCCCAAGGCCUUGCGGAUUCGCAAUCUCCUCUCCUCCAAAGCUUAUGCUGCUAUGGCCUCUUCUCUUUCAUAUCCAUCUCUUCCUCUCCGGUGAAGAAUUCGCUACUCCAGUCUUCCUCUACCAUCAACAUCUUCACCAGCCACAAUAGCUAUCUCCCUGGAUAAAUCGGAAAAGCUAUUGGUGCGCCGUCGAAGGAUUGUUGGGAGUAAACGUUCAAUGGUGUAUCUUCCUUCUCUUAUCUCUGUUAACCUGAUUACAUAGCCUUCUAGAUUAUUUUCUUUGGUUGUGAUGAAUUUUAGGGAUUCCUUGUGACGAUCUCUCAUAUUAACAAGCUUUAUCAGCCGGAGAAGCUGCUUCUAUAUUUGAGGUCAUACGAUGUUGUUAAGGCCCGCAUUUUAUUUUUUAUCUGGUUGUUUUCGAAUUCCCAAAAUUUGAUUGAGCUUUGUUUUUUUUUUUGUCAUAAGGCGAGAUUACAAGUUUGGAUCAGACAAGGUUAUAAUUGAUGGGCUACAAAUAUUCAAAAUGGUCUGAUUCAUUUUCUUUAAGUUCAACAUCUAAUGGCUCUAUCUCCCCACUUCCCCUGAUUUGAUUGUAUGUUUGUAUUAUCUGUAAUGGAAGUGUCCAUCUCUUUCCAGGGAUCACGUUUACAUGGUAUCUUUUCAUAUACACAAAUAAUCAUUCCAUAAGAAACUUUUAAUCUUUCCACCGAUUGCUGUAACUUUUAUACAAAUAGAUUACUAUGAAACAUGAGGAUUCAAUGCAUCUAUCACGGACUAUACUGCAAGAAGCAAUCGUUUGUGUAGAAGACAAGCAAAUGAGUGAAUUUUUCUUCCAUCUAAUCAGGAACCAAAGGAUUCCAAGCUCCAAAGGAUGGAAAAUCUAAUUAUUUAGGGCUGUACUUGGCUGAAAUAACUUGUGCAGGAUUCCUCCAGACGUGUGGUCAACAUGAAAUUCAAGGUUAAUAUCAAUGGUUUAGUUGAGACUGCACCAGUUCCUGAAGAAGUCUAGAAUAUCCACUACGGUACUCCUUGGCCCAGAAAUAUUGUGUGCGAUGAUCCUGCCAUGAACAAGGUCUUCCUUGGAAACAAAGGUCUUAAUGAUGUAGAAAACGCCGAGCUGCCUAGGCUGGUUUAUGUUCUCGUGAGGAGAGAGCCCAACUCACCAUCAUAAUAAGGCUGAAGAAAACAAAUUUAUUGGUUUUUCAAGGAUCUAGAAAAUAGAGAAUCUUAGUUUGGAAUCUGGGACAUACACAGCCGGCUUUGCAACUCUUGAAGUAGUGUUCAUGAACAUCGCUAGACGUGCUAAACUCAGUGAGCUAAAGUGCACUUUAGAGAAGUUUGGGACAAAAUUUUGAGGUUAUGGUUGCAAUUUACAAUGUAUGGGGUCAGAAACGGAGUUAUCAAAAGUUCAGGGACCUGUCUUGCAAAAUCUCCAAAACCCACCAUUGGAGAGAUCGAUUGUUCUCCGGAUUGGUUGACGACGAUCCCGGCGGCUACCACGGCGGGUUAAGAGCAAGACGACGAGGAUGAGCACCGGUGAGAGCUAACGACGACAAUUGAGCUCGGGAUUGGUCUUGCCAUAACUGAGAGAAGUUGCAGAUUCGUGGAGGAGGAGCCGCGGCAGAGAGCUUCGUGGUGGAGCAAAGCAGGGGAGACAGAGACGACCAACCAUGAUCUCCAAUCUCGAGAUGCAGAGCGGCUUCAUGGCGUGGACAAGAGAAGCGGACUUGCGGCGGAGAAGAUGGAUCGUGUGAUGGCUUCAACAGACCAUGGAGACCGCAAGUGAUCUUCGCGGCUAGCAGCGGGUUGCGGCAAGGUUUCGACGAAACCAUUUAGUAGAUUUCGCAAGCUGUGGCCGCGACGUGAAGUUAUCAACCGCAGGUAAGCAUCGCGAGCAUCAGGUGGUCGCGGCUGUGUCACGACAGAUUCGUCCAGGGCGUUUCGCAGGCCAUGUUCACGACACGUGGAGGUCGCGGCUUAUGGGCUGAUUUCGCUGGCUUUGAUCGCGGGCAACGGGUGGUCGUGGCCGUGGUCCGAAACAUUCAUUUUAUCAUUUUACCCUUUUGUUUCUAAGCUAGUAUAAAUACAUUGUAAACUUAAUCUUAAAUCAUAUCUUGUUUUCUAUUUAAUCAAAAGCUACUUCUGGGUGAAA